rnacentral:rRNA from 1 species
AUUGAACGCUGGCGGCAGGCCUAACACAUGCAAGUCGAACGAGUGGCGGACGGGUGAGUAAUGUCUGGGAAACUGCCAGAUGGAGGGGGAUAACUACUGGAAACGGGAGCUAAUACCGCAUACCAUCGGAUGUGCCCAGAUGGGAUUAGGUAGGAGGUGGGGUAACGGCUCACCUAGGCGACGAUCCCUAGCUGGUCUGAGAGGAUGAACAGCCACACUGGAACUGAGACACGGUCCAGAAGCCUACGUGAGGCAGCAGUGGGGAAUAUUGCACAAUGGGCGCAAGCCUGAUGCAGCCAUGCCGCGUGUAUGAAGAAGGCCUUCGGGUUGUAAAGUACUUUCAGCGGGGAGGCGUUACUCGCAGAAGAAGCACCGGCUAACUCCGUGCCAGCCGCCGCGGUAAUUC